CAUGAAAAAGAGUACGCGAAAAAAGCACACUUUUAGGUGCCAGGAGUGCGGCGUCCAGCCACAUUUGCUUCGAAUCGAGUACCAGCACUUCGUCUGAUUCAACAAGUGGAUCCUCCUAUCCCGGACCAAAAGAAGUGGCUAGUGGAUCUGGAUAACCUUUCUUCCCUUCUACUUUUAGUAGUCGAUGUUAUACCGGUACUACAGAGAAGUAAUUGAAUUGGCUUAGAAGCGGCUUCAACCUGAGAGGCCCGAAGUCUUCUCCCAGAGUCCUAAGAAG
rnacentral:misc_RNA from 1 species